UGGGGUGUAGCCAAGUGGUAAGGCGGUGGUCUUUGGAACCAUCAUGCGCAGGUUCGAAUCCUUCCACCCCAG
rnacentral:tRNA from 1 species